rnacentral:rRNA from 1 species
AUUGAACGCUGGCGGCAGGCCUAACACAUGCAAGUCGAGCGGAUGAAGGGAGCUUGCUCCUGGAUUCAGCGGCGGACGGGUGAGUAAUGCCUAGGAAUCUGCCUGGUAGUGGGGGAUAACGUCCGGAAACGGGCGCUAAUACCGCAUACGUCCUGAGGGAGAAAGUGGGGGAUCUUCGGACCUCACGCUAUCAGAUGAGCCUAGGUCGGAUUAGCUAGUUGGUGGGGUAAAGGCCUACCAAGGCGACGAUCCGUAACUGGUCUGAGAGGAUGAUCAGUCACACUGUAACUGAGACACGGUCCAGACUCCUACGGGAGGCAGCAGUGGGGAAUAUUGGACAAUGGGCGGAAUCCUGAUCCAGCCAUGCCGCGUGUGUUAAGAAGGUCUUCGGAUUGUAAAGCACUUUAAGUUGGGAGGAAGGGCAGUAAGUUAAUACCUUGCUGUUUUGACGUUACCAACAGAAUAAGCACCGGCUAACUUCGUG